UCGGUCCUUAGCACAAGGUAUGCUAAAUGUGACGCCCCGGAUUUUGAUCCAAGACAUUACGCCUAAUUCAUUCUCAUUUUCAAAAAUUACUACUAUUUUCUUUUUAUCAUCAAUAAUACAUUCUUAGUAAAAUCUAUACAAAAUUCUUAACAUAAUUUAAUAAAAAUUCCUAAAAUAAAUAUCCUUUAAAAUUUACAAUUCGAUAAAAAACCUAAUUUGUCCCCCAUACGCACUUCAAGCAAAAAACUUCAAAGCAUGGACCAUCUUUUCUUUCGUACCUAAAAUAUUAGUGUAAGGGUCAAUUUCCUUAUCCAAAUUGGUUCAUACUCAAAAGCACCAUAAACAAAGUCAUAAAGUAGAUAAUAUCAAAACUUAUCAAUAAAAAAGAAAUAAUAAAAAUACAUUUAAGUCUUUAAGGUAAAGUUCAUACACAUUUCUUUUGUAUAUAUAAAAAUUUAAUCACUUAUCAACACACAGAUGUAUAACAGACCCAAUGCAAUGAUGUGUAAAAUGCAUGCUCUUAGAUACUACAUGAUCCGGAUAUAAUGCCCGCCACUAAGGCAUCCGCAAAGAAUAUAAUUGCAAUUUCCGCCACUAAGGCAUCCACAGAGAAUAUAAUUGCAAUUCCCGCCACUAAGGCACCACACAGGUGCAUAUGCCAUGCAUGGUCAUGAAAAUGAAGACUAAAACCCGCCACUAAGGCACCACUAAGGCACACCAAAAAUGCACAUAUUAUGAGAAUAAAAAUAUAUGCAAUCCCCACAACUUAGACAACCACACAGAAAAUAAUACCACAUCAUGCACACGACAAAAAAAAUCUUUCAUAAAAAGCUUAUUUCUCUUAUUAUUAUUUCUGUUCGAUAACAAUCUCAAAUUUUACAUGCAACAUCCAUGAUCAUAUACCCACACAUAAAAGAGAAUCAAAUUUCAUAUAACAAGUCAUAGACACACAUAUUUCAUGAAUAAUAAGCAAGCACCAAUUUUAUAGUCCAUCAAACUUAGCUGCACAAGCAUUCAACAUAGGAAAACACAAUAUCACCAAAUAUAGCUAUGUGACUAUCUAGCUGCCAAAUCCUACAAAAGUGUCUCCCAGGUAUGAAUAGGAUGGCCGUAAAUGAUAAAUAAUAAGACUGUGGUAUAUUUUCUCUAAACAAUGAUUAGCCACACAUAUACUUAAAUUUAGACUUCUAUUAAUUCUUUUAAGAAAGAUUUUAAGUACCGUAUCAUAAUCAUAAUAUCAUUAUUUCUAAAAUUUAUAUCAUUUUCAUAAAACUCACAUUUCCAUUUUUUUUCCUUUUUCUAAUUUAUCAAAAAUCUAACAUCUCUUUCCCUACAUCACAAGAACAUAUCAAGCAUAAUAAUAUAAAACAUACCAGUUCACAUCACAUCCACAUACACAACUUUCAUAUAAAACAUAAGUAAGAAUAAUUUUUACCAUAAAAAUACAUUUUAAUUAUUUUUCUUUCUACCACUAUUUAAUGACACAUCUCUAACACUUAGUAUGGACGUAUGGGAAAAAGCCCUUACCUAGAGAGCUUUUCUUCCUAGGCGAACUCUAAACAACCUCAAACUCACAACUACGGUUAAGACACGUUUUCUCUCACUCCAAGAAUUAUUUGACGGAUGGACGGUUGAAAACGAAGGCGUAGUCGCAGUUCUACGCUGACUGGUUUGAGGAAAACGAAAAUGACUUAAAUCAGAAUUUUCAUGAAGUGAAACAAGAGAUAAAUUAGAAACAUAUGUGUGCAAGGACUCACCAGAAUAGAAAUUGAUUGAUGGACUUUGAAUAUCGUUAUGCAAUUGUAUGAAACACAAGGUAAUCCAAUACAAAUAUCAUCAUCAUGAAAUAAUGUAAUGAAUGGCAAGGAACGUGGUUUUCUCAGGUUUGUUAAUGUAUU
rnacentral:lncRNA from 1 species